rnacentral:rRNA from 1 species
UGCCAGCAGCCGCGGUAACACGGGGGGCGCAAGCGUUAUUCGGAAUUAUUGGGCGUAAAGGGCGCGCAGGCGGUCUUGUCAGUCAGGUGUGAAAGCCCGGGGCUCAACCCCGGAUGGUCACUUGAAACAGCAAGACUUGAGUACUGGAGAGGAAAGCGGAAUUCCUGGUGUAGAGGUGAAAUUCGUAGAUAUCAGGAGGAACACCGAUGGCGAAGGCAUCUCUCUGGGCCGAUAUUGACGCUGAGGCGCGAAGGCGUGGGGAGCGAACAGGAUUAGAUA